GCCAAGCAGGCAUGGUCUUUCUCUUGGAUCUUUCUGUCUGAGUGGAGUUUUGGCAGAAGUGCCUUCAAUUUGUUUGCUUUUGAGAUUUGUUGUCUUGCCUGAGUAAGCGUUAAACAGAAGGAAACCUCUCUCUCAAGGUAAGGGCGAAGUGCUGAAGCUAGAAAACCGUAAUUAAAUAAUCGGGUGUCUGGCAGGCCCAGGGAGGCUGCGAAGCUGCUGUUUGUUUCCCUUUUCCUGCGCGGGUCAUUCCUAAGAAGACAGAGAUGGGAGUGGCAAGCGAUGGGGAGAGCCUGGCGUGAAGCGAGUGUGCAGCUCAUUCUUGAUAGAAAAAGAAAGGAUGACUGCUUGCUGCUCAUGAGGCCAGCAUUCAUAUUUGGAGCCAAGCAGAUGCACCUGCAAGCUUGGCAGCAUUGCACUCGCUUUACAAUUGGAUUGGACCAUGGGGGCGGUUUCCCUUGUGCUGUUCUCGUGAUAGUGAACUCUUCCAAGAUCUGGCUGUUUAAAAGCGUGUGGCAGGUUUGCCCCAUAGCCACCAUAGUAAGACGUGCCUGCUUCUCCUUUGCCAUGGUUGUGAGUAUCCUGAGCUCUCUCGGUCGUGCUUCCUGCUAGCCCUGCAGAACUAGUGACCAACUGCAGCAUGUGAAGAAGAAAAAAAAAAAAAAAAAAGGAUACUGAGACUUGGAUGGAUGCAUCAAGAAGUAGCAACGUUUGUUACCUGCAGAGGUGUUACAAGAAAUUUCAUCUGCUGCAACGAAGACGAACUGAUUUCUGGAAGAGAAGAUAAAAUUCACAAUACUGCUCGCUCAGGGGGAAAUGUGCUCUCUGCCAAUUGCUUCGAUGUGUACAGAUGAGGGGAGGGAAGGGUGCUGCGUGUGAAUGGAUGUUGCGAGGAAAUGUGCUGAUGUACCUCAGAGUUUAGAAAGAUCAUGAAAUAAGCAUGCGGGGACCUCUUAAAGUCAUGGUAAUGUCAGAAUACGAACUAUGUACAAGCUGUUGCACCAAAUAUUAAUACUAUGUGUUACCAAAACAUGCCAGGAUAUGUUUCUAAGGCUAAAGCAUUUCAAAUUGUGCUCAUAUGACUUUCUAUGCUAAAGAGAUUACUUUUUAAAAUGGGACUAAUGAUUAAGAAAUAGGGUAUACUACAGCUAGCUAGAAAAAUUAUAAAAUUCUAGACUUAUAAUAUCAAAAAAAAAUAAGAAAAAGUGCUGUCAUUUCAGAAGACAAUUUUAUAUGGUGAUGUGUUAUGGAUAAUAAUUUCCUCAUCAAACCCAGCUUGCUACAUAGAGCUAAGAGAACUUGUCAAUUGAAAUAAACCCUAAUUAUUUUUAAUGAUGCAGUAUUAAAAAUAAUGAAAAUAGAAAAUGCUAUUUUACUUUUAGUAAACCCAGAAAGAUGAUAAAACUCUCUUAAGACGUUUCCAACUGUGACACUUCCACGAUAUUAUGUGUUCUAAUUCAGAGGUACUAAUUCGUCUACAAAUAAGAUCGUCUGAGUCAAAUUAUAAAAAUGGCACAAUGAGGUUGGCUAGGUUCGUAAAUGCCUCAAAAGUAGCAGUACAGGGGCUCUGGGUUUUCAUCGGUUAGAUUUUUAUUAUGCUUAUGGAUCACCAAGAACCAAGAUAAAUGCAUUUUUCUUCUUAGUAUGAUUGGUUUUGUUCAAAUGUUUCAGUGCUUCAAAAGGUAUCUAGUGAUGGAGCAUUUCUUAAAACAUCUUAAGAAAGUUUUACUGUUGCAAGAGGUACACCCUGGAAUAUAAAUAGAGCUGCCAUUUGAAUAUUCCCUAGAAUUUCACAUUCAGUUAAAUUCUAGUCAUUUCUACACCAAUAAAAUAUAAACAAGUUAUACAUGCUUUGAGAAUAAUAUUUUUAGUACUUUUCUCCUACAUAACAAGUCACAACUAAGUUUAUCACUUUCCUUAAGACAAUAAAAGUUAACAUAAGAUUUUGGGCUUUUUGACACAGACUUUUUGAGCCGCAUGAAUAUCUGGCCCCAGAUUCCCUAUGUUAGAGGAGCAAUAAAAUUUAUCCCUGAAAACAAAGGAGAUAUUUUGGUUGAAUAUUUGACUUACUCACCUUUGACUUAUAGAAGGGGCAAUAACACGGGAAUUCCUAACUACAGGUAUGAUAUUCUGGGCUGCACAAAACAGGCACUUAGAAUAACCUCUAUUUACAGAAUGCUCCUAAGAAUGCUACCGUAAGCAAGAAUGGCGACAUGAUUUAUCCAAAGCGGCAAGGUCUUUGCACUAGGCAUUCACAUAUCUAUGGCAGGAGGGUGGGGCAGCUCUACCCAAUUUCUACUGCCUAAUCCUAGAACAGAUUGCUAGCUUGUGUUCCCUUUCUGCAAUUUUCCCUAAGGAACUGUCCAAUGUGCUAGACAUCAGGAAAGCCACUUGGAGACAAAAACAGAUGUAAAAUUGUGACUGAACGAAUAGGUAACUUUUAAAAUGCAAC
rnacentral:lncRNA from 1 species